rnacentral:rRNA from 1 species
UACGUAGGGGGCAAGCGUUAUCCGGAUUUACUGGGUGUAAAGGGAGCGUAGGCGGUUUAGCAAGUCAGAAGUGAAAGCCCGGGGCUCAACUCCGGGACUGCUUUUGAAACUGUUGAACUAGAGAAUAGUUGCGGUAGGCGGAAUGUAUGGUGUAGCGGUGAAAUGCUUAGAGAUCAUACAGAACACCGAUUGCGAAGGCAGCUUACCAAACUAUAUCUGACGUUGAGGCACGAAAGCGUGGGUAGCAAACAGG